rnacentral:rRNA from 1 species
GAUGAACGCUGGCGGCGUGCCUAAUACAUGCAAGUCGAGCGAACGGACGAGAAGCUUGCUUCUCUGAUGUUAGCGGCGGACGGGGGAGUAACACGUGGAUAACCUACCGAUAAGACUGGGAUAACUUCGGGAAACCGGAGCUAAUACCGGAUGAUAUUUUGAACCGCAUGGUUCAAAAGUGAAAUACGGGCUUGCUGUCACUGAUAGAUUGAUACGCGCUGCGUUAGCUAGUUGGUAAGGUAACGGCUUACCAAGGCAACGAUGCAGAGCCGACCUGAGAGGGUGAGCCGCCACACUGGAACUGAGACACGGUCCAGACUCCUACGGGAGGCAGCAGUAGGGAAUCUUCCGCAAUGCGCGAAAGCCUGACGGAGCAACACCGCGUGAGUGAUGAAGGUCUUAGGAUCGUAAAACUCUGUUAUUCGGCAAGAAGAUAUGUGUAAGUAGCAGUGAACAUCUUGACGGUACCUAAUCAGAAAGCCACGGCUAACUACGUG